GCACCAGUGGAGUAGUAGUUAACUCGUUUCCCUCCCACUUUUCUCGCGGCAGGAAGGAAAGGACCUGGGUGCAAAUCCCGGCUGGUGCA